rnacentral:rRNA from 1 species
CCUCGCCUGUUUUUAUCAAAAACAUCUUUUCUUGUUAGUUUCUGAAGUAUGGCCUGCCCGCUGACGUAUUUUGAGUUGAAGGGCCGCGGUAUUUUGACCGUGCAAAGGUAGCAUAGUCAUUAGUUCUUUAAUUGUGAUCUGGUAUGAAUGGCUUGACGAGACAUGGGCUGUCUUGGGUGUGAAUUUGUUGUUGAAUUUGGAGUUUAAGUUAAAAUUCUUAGAUGUUUUUAUGGGACGAGAAGACCCUAUAGAGUUUGACAUUUGAUUGCGUAUUUCUUGUUGUUUGUUUUGAAUUUUUGUGCAUCUCUUGUUUUGUUGGGGUGAUGGGAGGAAUUUAUUUAACUCCUCUUUUAUGUGGUAUAUUGAUUUGUAAUUGUUUUGAUCCAUUUAUUUUGAUUGUAAGAUUAAAUUACCUUAGGGAUAACAGCGUUAUCUUCCCUGAGAGUUCUUAUUGGCGGGGGGGUUUGCGACCUCGAUGUUGGAUUAAGGUUAAUUUUUGGUGUAGGAGCUGAAUUGAUUGGGUCUGUUCGACCUUUAAAAUCUUACGUGAUCUGAGUUCAGACCGG